UACAGAGGUCUCAAGCGUUGUUCGGAUUCAUUGGGCGUAAAGGGUGCGUAGGCGGCGCGGUAAGUCGGGUGUGAAAUCUCGGGGCUUAACUCCGAAACUGCAUUCGAUACUGCCGUGCUUGAGGACUGGAGAGGAGACUGGAGUUUACGGUGUAGCGGUGAAAUGCGUAGAUAUCGUAAGGAAGACCAGUGGCGAAGGCGGGUCUCUGGACAGUUCCUGACGCUGAAGCACGAAGGCCAGGGGAGCAAACGGG
rnacentral:rRNA from 1 species